GUUCUGCUGUCUGACAUACUAGUACUGAAUGGCUGGAGGGAGGUUCUGCUGUCUGACAUACUAGUACUGAAUGGCUGGAGGGAGGUUCUGCUGUCUAACAUACUAGUACUGAAUGGCUGGAGGGAGGUUCUGCUGUCUGAAUGGCUGGAGGGAGGUUCUGCUGUCUGACAUACUAGUACUGAAUGGCUGGAGGGAGGUUCUGCUGUCUAACAUACUAGUACUGAAUGGCUGGAGGGAGGUUCUGCUGUCUGAAUGGCUGGAGGGAGGUUCUGCUGUCUGACAUACUAGUACUGAAUGGCUGGAGGGAGGUUCUGCUGUCUGACAUACUAGUACUGAAUGACUGGAGGGAGGUUCUG